GAUGAAGAACGUAGCGAAAUGCGAUAAGUAAUGUGAAUUGCAGAAUUCAGUGAAUCAUCGAAUCUUUGAACGCACAUUGCGCCCGCCAGUAUUCUGGCGGGCAUGCCUGUUCGAGCGUCAUUUCAACCCUCAGGCCCCCAGUGCCUGGUGUUGGGGAUCGGCCCAGCCUUCCCGUAAGGCCGCCGGCCCCGAAAUCUAGUGGCGGUCUCGCUGUAGUCCUCCUCUGCGUAGUAGCACAGCCUCGCAGUUGGAACGCGGCGGUGGCCAUGCCGUUAAACACCCCACUUCUGAAAGUUGACCUCGGAUCAGGUAGGAAUACCCGCUGAACUUAAGCAUAUCAAUAAGCGGAGGA
rnacentral:misc_RNA from 1 species